rnacentral:rRNA from 1 species
ACUCAAAUGAAUAGACGGGGGCUCACACAAGCGGUGGAGCAUGUGGCUCAAUUCGAAGCAACGCGAAGAACCUUAUCCAAGGCUUGACAUGUAUGGAUUAGCUCCUGGAAACAGGAGUAACACUCGCAAGAGCGGAACAUACACAGGUGCUGCAUGGCUGUCGUCAGCUCGUGCUGUGAAGUGUCGGGUUAAGUCCCUUAACGAGCGAAACCCCUGUCGCUAGUUGCCACCAGGUUAUGCUGAGCACUCUAGCGAGACUGCCGGUGUCAAACCGGAGGAAGGUGGGGAUGACGUCAAGUCCUCAUGGCCUUUAUGCCUUGGGCUGCACACGUGCUACAAUGGCGCCUACAGAGCGACGCGAUACCGCAAGGUGGAGCAAAUCGCAAAAAAGGCGCCCCAGUUCAGAUUGAGGUCUGCAACUCGACCUCAUGAAGUUGGAAUCGCUAGUAAUCGAGGAUCAGCUACGCCUCGGUGAAUAUGUUCCUGAGCCUUGUACACACCGCCCGU